ACCCUGCUCGGCUUACUAUUUUUGUUAACAAUAGGUCAAGAGGUCUGUAUGCUAAUUUGCGUGCUGAUAACAAGCUUUGAUGUUGCAAAUCAACUGUCAGAUCAAAGCCCGGCCUUGCAGACCCACGAGGGUUUGGCAGCCACAAUCUCCAACCUCCCUGUUUUCAGAGACCAAUUAACACCUGCCUCCAUUUAAUUGCCUGAUGCCCUACACACUGCAAAAAUGCUUAGCAGGUGAUUAGCGAUGCAAAAUAGGUGCUGGCGAGACCAGUCAGCCAAAGCCUGCAUGUUUAAAAACUCCUGUAAAGUUGAGCCAAUCAUUUGGGCGGCUGUUCCCCAGGCAGAGCUCUCGGCAUGCUAAAAAGAGGUCAAGAUGAAACCUGCCGAGAGGAUUCUGAGACUCACAAGUGAGCGUUUGGUAAAUUAAGAUGCAAAGGAACAUGCACAACGUGCGUUUUUGGACUAUUGAUUAACAUCCUUUUAAAACAGUAGGUGUCAGGACUUGGGGAAGGUCACUGAGCAUCAGUGGCCAUCUGCAGAUAAGAGCCACAAUGGAGGAAAGUUAGCAUAAUAAAGUGAGUGACUGCUGCCCGCACUGCCAAGGACACCUCGUAUCUGCCCCAGCUAGAUGCGGUCCACAUAGAGCUUCGUUAAGAUUAAUGCAAUGCAAGUUCUCGAAUGAAUGUGACAGACGAGAGAGAUAAAGAGACAGAUUCUCUGUCAUGUAUCCAGAAUGACGUCCCGUGGUGCCAAACACUUCUUCAAAAUAGAUUUGACCUCUUUCUCUACGAGCUCUGUUUUGACCAUGAGGUUUAGAUGUAAUGGGGAUAUAAUCCUCAAUAUUAUCAAUGUGCUUCGCUAUUAAACUGGAGCAUUAUUUGCUUGUGUAUGACACAUCUUUUACCUGAAGGGCUGCUUGUCUUUGUGGAGGAAAAAGAAUGAACAUUUUUUUUUUUUUUUUUUAGGUUAAUCUCUUUUGAGUUUGAGUUUCAUGUGGAGCGCAGCAGUAAAAUCAUGUUUAAUAUCACCAUUACAAAACUAUUUACAGUGAUAAAACAAACUAUUCCAGAUAUAUGAUCAUGAAGCCAUUUCGUAGCAAUAAUAUAAUUAAGAUAUACAUUAUGUAAGCUUGUUUCUGCCACACGAUUAAAAAAAAAAAUAACAAAAUGUGCGACUUAUCCCACAAAUCAUACUUUUUUUUUUUUAUUGUAAUUCUACAUUUAUAUUUCACAAUUCAGAAUAUAAGUCACAGUUCUGAGAAGAAAAGUCAGAAUUAUGAGACAAACUCGCAAUUGCAAGUCUUAAUCUCAAUUCUGAGAAGACUGGAAUUGAGAAAUAAACUUGUGUACAUAAGGACAAAAGUCAGAAUUGUGAAAUGAAAAAGUCACAAUUACCUUUUAUUUUAGUUUAAUUUUAAUUUUAAUUAAUUUAUUUUGUAUCCCAUGGUGGGAAAAAAAAACAAUGGAGUGAUUUAAAUUUGGAACUGCAAGAAAAAAAAAAAUCUGAGUUUAUAUCUUGCAAUUUGACUUUUCUAGUAAUUUUUGAGAUUAUAUUCCAAAAUUCAGGCUUUUCUUCUCUCAAUUACAACUUAAAUCUUGCAGUUCUAUCAUUCUGUGAGGGGGAAAAAAGUUGUUUUUAGAAAUUGUGAGAAAAGAGUCAGAAUUGUGAGAUAAAAAGUUGCAAUUACAUUU
ensembl:lncRNA